CUUAUCACCAUAGACAAAUCUUGGAGAAAACAACCAAGGAAAAAGGGAAAGGUGGUAAAUCUGGAUCCGGAGGAGCAAAAAGAUCAAGAACACAACCCAUUUUGUGGCGAACAUGAUGUCGCCAAAAAGAAAACACAUGUUGCUGUGAAGGUACAUGCCAAAA